CACCUUCAGAAAGUUUGCAGGCAGCCCCGUGCUGAGAGGUGCGGUGGAUCAAACAGGAGCUGGGGCACCUUGAUGAAGACUGUGCAACAGAACUUGCUGUGUUUCACAACCAGAGCAGAGAGAGUAUAUCAGCAUUAAUAUCAGAGGUGGAAUUGUGACCAGAUG